GACGAACGCUGGCGGCGUGCCUAAUACAUGCAAGUCGAGCGGAAUGAUGAAGAAGCUUGCUUCUUCUGAUUUUAGCGGCGGACGGGUGAGUAACACGUGGGCAACCUACCUUGUAGAUUGGGAUAACUCCGGGAAACCGGGGCUAAUACCGAAUAAUCCAUUUUGCUUCAUGGCGAGAUGUUGAAAGACGGUUUCGGCUGUCACUACAAGAUGGGCCCGCGGCGCAUUAGCUAGUUGGUAGGGUAAUGGCCUACCAAGGCGACGAUGCGUAGCCGACCUGAGAGGGUGAUCGGCCACACUGGGACUGAGACACGGCCCAGACUCCUACGGGAGGCAGCAGUAGGGAAUCUUCCACAAUGGACGAAAGUCCGAUGGAGCAACGCCGCGUGAGUGAAGAAGGUUUUCGGAUCGUAAAACUCUGUUGUAAGGGAAGAACACGUACGAGAGUAACUGCUCGUACCUUGACGGUACCUUAUUAGAAAGCCACGGCUAACUACGUG
rnacentral:rRNA from 1 species